UCUAGGGACACGUGCAAUGACGUACGCGCGCCUCCUGAACGAGCACGCCGCUUACGUUAGUACGUAUAGACGGAUAAUACUUGGCCAGUUAGCGCAGCGGGCUCCGAAACAUGACCCGCUGAAUCAUCUACAGCAGUAGUGCCUGAGAGGGAGAUGUAUGGUGUGGAAGAGAUUUCAAAAUUCCGCAUUACAGGACAACACCAAUAGCAGUAUUCGAAGAAAAGACACACUGCCACCAUGAGCCUCUAUCCUACAACUUCCCGCAGUACGCUACUUCCACCCUUCCUCUGUCCACUACUCAUGACGUCAUCAAUCCCAUCUUCCACCAUGGCUCCUACCCAGCAUUUCUCCACUUCCGGCCCCUCCUACAUAAAUGUCCGCCGACGCCAUCUUUGGCCGUCAAACUCAU